GGAUGUGAGGGUGAUCUGGCUGCAACAUCUGUCAUCCCAUUGAUCACCAGGGUUGAUUUGGCUGAUCUGGCUGGCUAGGUGGGUGUCCCCUUCCUCCCUCACCGCUCCGUGUGCUUCCCUCCUUAAGCUGUGCGCUCCGUCAAAGAGGACAACCUUCCCCGAUAGCGGAGGACCAUUCUUCGGUCAAGGGUAUAUGAGUAGAUGUGCUCCCCUGCUAGAACCUCCAAACAAACUCUUGAGAUCAGAGCAGAAAUAAAUGAAAUUGAAAUCCCCCAAAAUACAAAAGAUCAAUGAAAUGAAAAGUUGAUUUUU
rnacentral:snRNA from 1 species